rnacentral:rRNA from 1 species
AGAGUUUGAUCAUGGCUCAGAUUGAACGCUGGCGGCAGGCUUAACACAUGCAAGUCGAGCGGGGGAGGUUACUUCGGUAACUGACCUAGCGGCGGACGGGUGAGUAAUGCUUAGGAAUCUGCCUAUUAGUGGGGGACAACAUUCCGAAAGGAAUGCUAAUACCGCAUACGCCCUACGGGGGAAGGCAGGGGAUCUUCGGACCUUGCGCUAAUAGAUGAGCCUAAGUCGGAUUAGCUAGUUGGUGGGGUAAAGGCCUACCAAGGCGACGAUCUGUAGCGGGUCUGAGAGGAUGAUCCGCCACACUGGGGCUGAGACACGGCCCAGACUCCUACGGGAGGCAGCAGUGGGGAAUAUUGGACAAUGGGCGCAAGCCUGAUCCAGCCAUGCCGCGUGUGUGAAGAAGGCCUUUUGGUUGUAAAGCACUUUAAGCGAGGAGGAGGCUCCUUUAGUUAAUACCUAAAGUGAGUGGACGUUACUCGCAGAAUAAGCACCGGCUAACUCUGUGCCAGCAGCCGCGGUAAUACAGAGGGUGCGAGCGUUAAUCGGAUUUACUGGGCGUAAAGCGUGCGUAGGCGGCUUUUUAAGUCGGAUGUGAAAUCCCUGAGCUUAACUUAGGAAUUGCAUUCGAUACUGGAAAGCUAGAGUAUGGGAGAGGAUGGUAGAAUUCCAGGUGUAGCGGUGAAAUGCGUAGAGAUCUGGAGGAAUACCGAUGGCGAAGGCAGCCAUCUGGCCUAAUACUGACGCUGAGGUACGAAAGCAUGGGGAGCAAACAGGAUUAGAUACCCUGGUAGUCC